rnacentral:rRNA from 1 species
AACGUAGGAGGCGAGCGUUAUCCGGAUUCACUGGGCGUAAAGCGCGUGCAGGCGGUUUGGUAAGUUGGGCGUGAAAGCUCCCGGCUCAACUGGGAGAGGUCGUCCAAAACUACCAGACUAGAGAGCGAUAGAGGAAAAUGGAAUUCCCGGUGUAGUGGUGAAAUGCGUAGAUAUCGGGAGGAACACCAGUGGCGAAGGCGAUUUUCUGGAUCGUUUCUGACGCUCAGAAGCGAAAGCUAGGGUAGCAAACGUG